CGUUAAGUAGCAAGGUUAAGCACUUAAGGUGUGGAGCCGUAGCGAAAGCGAGUUUUAACUGAGCGUUCAGUUACUUGACGUAGACCCGAAACCGGGCGACCUACCCAUGAGCAGGAUGAAGCGAAAGGAAAAUUUCGUGGAGGUCCGAACCCACGAGCGUUGAAAAGCUCGGGGAUGACUUGUGGGUAGCGGUGAAAUUCCAAUCGAGCCCGGAGAUAGCUGGUUCUCCCCGAAAUAGCUUUAGGGCUAGCCUCAAGGUGAGAGAUACGGAGGUAGAGCACUGAAUGUCCUAGGGGGUAUUGCACCUACCGAAGACUAUCAAACUCCGAAUGCCGUCAUCUUAUACUUGGGAGUCAGACUGUGGGUGAUAAGAUUCAUAGUCGAAAGGGCAACAGCCCAGAUCGUCAGCUAAGGUCCCUAAAUGUAAGUUAAGUGGUAAAGGAUGUGGGAUUGCACAGACAACCAGGAUGUUGGCUUAGAAGCAGCCACUCAUUCAAAGAGUGCGUAAUAGCUCACUGGUCGAGUGAUCCUGCGCCGAAGAUUUCCGGGGCUAAAACUUACUACCGAAGCUACGGCAUCAGUAAUGAUGGGUAGGGGAGCUUCCCAUACGGGUUGAAGCAUGACCGUAAGGACAUGUGGACAGUAUGGGAGUGAGAAUGUUGGCAUGAGUAGCGAGAUGUGGGUG
rnacentral:rRNA from 1 species